rnacentral:rRNA from 1 species
UACGAAGGUGGCAAGCGUUACUCGGAAUUACUAGGCGUAAAGGGCAGGUAGGUGGUUUGGUAAGUCUGUUGUGAAAGCUCCCGGCUUAACUGGGAGAGGCCAACGGAUACUGCCAGGCUUGAGUAUAGGAGAGGUUACUGGAAUUCCCGGUGUAGCGGUGAAAUGCGCAGAGAUCGGGAGGAACACCAAUGGCGAAAGCAGGUAACUGGACUAUUACUGACACUCAACUGCGAAAGCUAGGGGAGCAAACAGG